GAUGAACGCUAGCUACAGGCUUAACACAUGCAAGUCGAGGGGAAACGAUAGAGAAAGCUUGCUUUUUCUAGGCGUCGACCGGCGCACGGGUGAGUAACGUGUAUCCAACCUGCCCAUCACUUGGGGAUAACCUUGCGAAAGUAAGACUAAUACCCAAUGACGUCUCUAGAAGACAUCUGAAAGAGAUUAAAGAUUUAUCGGUGAUGGAUGGGGGUGCGUCUGAUUAGCUUGUUGGCGGGGUAACGGCCCACCAAGGCGACGAUCAGUAGGGGUUCUGAGAGGAAGGUCCCCCACAUUGGAACUGCGACACGGUCCAAACUCCUACGGGAGGCAGAAGUGAGGAAUAUUGGUCAAUGGGCGAGAGCCUGAACCAGCCAAGUAGCGUGCAGGAUGACGGCCCUAUGGGCUGUAAGCUGCUUUUAUAAGGGAAUAAAGUGAGUCUCGUGAGACUUUUUGCAUGUACCUUAUGAAUAAGGACCGGCUAAUUCCGUGCCAGCAGCCGCCGCCG
rnacentral:rRNA from 1 species